AGUGAACGCUGGCGGUAGGCCUAACACAUGCAAGUCGAACGGCAGCACAGUAAGAGCUUGCUCUUACGGGUGGCGAGUGGCGGACGGGUGAGGAAUACAUCGGAAUCUACUUUUUCGUGGGGGAUAACGUAGGGAAACUUACGCUAAUACCGCAUACGACCUACGGGUGAAAGCAGGGGAUCUUCGGACCUUGCGCGAUUGAAUGAGCCGAUGUCGGAUUAGCUAGUUGGCGGGGUAAAGGCCCACCAAGGCGACGAUCCGUAGCUGGUCUGAGAGGAUGAUCAGCCACACUGGAACUGAGACACGGUCCAUACUCCUACGGGAGGCAGCAGUGGGGAAUAUUGGACAAUGGGCGCAAGCCUGAUCCAGCCAUCCCGCGUGGGUGAAGAAGGCCUUCGGGUUGUAAAGCCCUUUUGUUGGGAAAGAAAAGCAGCAGGUUAAUACCCCGCUGUUCUGACGGUACCCAAAGAAUAAGCACCGGCUAACUUCGUG
rnacentral:rRNA from 1 species